CUACGGGGUGCUGCAGUGGGGAAUAUUGCACAAUGGGGGAAACCCUGAUGCAGCAACGCCGCGUGGAGGAUGACGCAUUUCGGUGUGUAAACUCCUUUUAUAUAGGAAGAUAAUGACGGUACUAUAUGAAUAAGCACCGGCUAACUCCGUGCCAGCAGCCGCGGUAAUACGGAGGGUGCAAGCGUUACUCGGAAUCACUGGGCGUAAAGCGCGCGCAGGCGGCCUUUUAAGUUGGAUGUGAAAGCCUAUGGCUUAACCAUAGAACUGCAUCCAAAACUAUCAGGCUAAAGUCUGGGAGGGGAAGAUGGAAUUAGUUGUGUAGGGGUAAAAUCCGUAGAGAUAACUAGGAAUACCAAAAGCGAAGGCGAUCUUCUGGAACAGUACUGACGCUGAGGCGCGAAAGCGUGGGGAGCAAACAGGAUUAGAUACCCCCAUAGUC
rnacentral:rRNA from 1 species